rnacentral:rRNA from 1 species
CCCCUAGAUGUUCUGGGCCGCACGCGCGCUACACUGAACAGUUCAACAAGUCUUAACCUUGGCCGAUAGGUCUGGGUAAUCUUUGAACGCUGUUCGUGAUUGGGAUAGACCUUUGCAAUUAUGGGUCUUCAACGAGGAAUUCCUAGUAAACGCAAGUCACCAGCUUGCAUUGAUUACGUCCCUGCCCUUUGUACACACCGCCCGUCGCACCUACCGAUUGAAUGGUCCGGUGAAAUCUCGGGACGGCGGCUUGGUCGCUUGCGUCCGACUGCUGAAACUUGAUUAAACCAUAUCAUUUAGAGGAAGGUGAAGUCGUANCA